AACGAACGCUGGCGGCAUGCCUAACACAUGCAAGUCGAACGAGACCUUCGGGUCUAGUGGCGCACGGGUGCGUAACGCGUGGGAACCUGCCCUUAGGUUCGGAAUAACUCCCUGAAAGGGGUGCUAAUACCGGAUAAUGUCUUCGGACCAAAGAUUUAUCGCCUUUGGAUGGGCCGGCGUUGGAUUGGCUAGUUGGUAGGGUAAAAGCCUACCAAGGCGACGAUCCAUAGCUGGUCUGAGAGGAUGAUCAGCCACACUGGGACUGAGACACGGCCCAGACUCCUACGGGAGGCAGCAGUGGGGAAUAUUGGACAAUGGACGAAAGCCUGAUCCAGCAGUGCCGCGUGAGUGAGGAAGGCCGUAGGGAUGUAAAGCUCUUUUGGACGAGAUGAUAAUGACAGUACCGGGAGAAUAAGCACCGGCUAACUACGUG
rnacentral:rRNA from 1 species